rnacentral:rRNA from 1 species
AGGGUUCGAUUCUGGCUCAGGAUUAACGCUGGCGGCAUGCCUAAUACAUGCAAGUCGAAUGGAAGAGCUUGCUUUCCAUGGCGAACGGGUGAGUAACACGUAGGUAACCUACCUUAAGGACGAGGAUAACCUUUGGAAACGAAGGAUAAUACUGGAUAGGACAUCAUAAAACACAUGUUUAGAUGUUUAAAGGAGCAAUCCACCAUAAGAGGGGCCUGCGGCGCAUUAGCUAGUUGGUGAGAUAAAGGCCCACCAAGGCGAUGAUGCGUAGCCGGACUGAGAGGUUGAACGGCCACAAUGGGACUGAGAACGGCCCAUACUCCUACGGGAGGCAGCAGUAGGGAAUUUUCGGCAAUGGACAAAAGUCUGACCGAGCAAUGCCCGCGUGAUCGAAGAAGUAUUUCGGUAUGUAAAGAUCUUUUAUCAGGGAAGAAAAGACAGAUUGACUGAACCUGAUGAAUAAGCUCCGGCUAACUACGUGCCAGCCGCCGC